AUUGAACGCUGGCGGCAGGCUUAACACAUGCAAGUCGAGCGGGGUGAUGGUGCUUGCACUAUCACUUAGCGGCGGACGGGUGAGUAAUGCUUAGGAAUCUGCCUAUUAGUGGGGGACAACAUCUCGAAAGGGAUGCUAAUACCGCAUACGUCCUACGGGAGAAAGCAGGGGAUCACUUGUGACCUUGCGCUAAUAGAUGAGCCUAAGUCGGAUUAGCUAGUUGGUGGGGUAAAGGCCUACCAAGGCGACGAUCUGUAGCGGGUCUGAGAGGAUGAUCCGCCACACUGGGACUGAGACACGGCCCAGACUCCUACGGGAGGCAGCAGUGGGGAAUAUUGGACAAUGGGGGGAACCCUGAUCCAGCCAUGCCGCGUGUGAAGAAGGCCUUAUGGUUGUAAAGCACUUUAAGCGAGGAGGAGGCUCUUUUGGUUAAUACCCAAGAUGAGUGGACGUUACUCGCAGAAUAAGCACCGGCUAACUCUGUGCCAGCAGCCGCAGUAA
rnacentral:rRNA from 1 species